GUCCCUGUAGCAUAGUGGAUAGCGUGUUGGACUCAUAAUCCAAAGUGUGUGGGUUUGAAUCCUAUCAGAGAUG